GACGAACGCUGGCGGCGUGCUUAACACAUGCAAGUCGAACGGAAAGGCCCUGCUUUUGUGGGGUGCUCGAGUGGCGAACGGGUGAGUAACACGUGAGUAACCUGCCCUUGACUUUGGGAUAACUUCAGGAAACUGGGGCUAAUACCGGAUAGGAGCUCCUGCUGCAUGGUGGGGGUUGGAAAGUUUCGGCGGUUGGGGAUGGACUCGCGGCUUAUCAGCUUGUUGGUGGGGUAGUGGCUUACCAAGGCUUUGACGGGUAGCCGGCCUGAGAGGGUGACCGGCAAAAUUGGGACUGAGAUACGGCCAAGACUCCUACGGGAGGAAGCAGUGGGGAAUAUUGAAAAAUGGGCGGAAGCCUGAUGCAGCAACGCCGCGUGCGGGAUGACGGCCUUCGGGUUGUAAACCGCUUUCGCCGGUGACGAAGCGUGAGUGACGGUAAUGGGUAAAGAAGCACCGGCUAACUACGUG
rnacentral:rRNA from 1 species